UGUACCAUUCAGGUUAUUUAUCCUCUGUUUACAAACUGGAGAUGACAGAGAAGCUAAUUUUCUGAUUCCUCCUGUUCCCUAAGCCAUAAGAAGAAUGUGACUCUGGCACCAACAUCCUGCCCCCCAUCCCCACCCCAAUACACACACGCUACAAGCUGAGCUCCAGUUGGAGAGAAAUAAGUGGAAACACACACUGCAGCUGUAGGGAGGAGGCAUCCUGGUGGUAUUUGAGUUCCUGUUUCUGCACAUAUCGAAGGCCAACUUCUCUCCAUCCAUGCUUGUAAAUGAGCCCAAAAUUUCCCCUUUUUGCUUGAGCAGAUGUAUUAUUGAGCAGAUGCCUUUGCCACUUGCACCCAGAGUGUGAACUCAAUCAGCUUUGGUAAUUCUUGAGUCCUAGGAGGGAUCUGGUCUCCUACAGAAGGUAUGCAGAAUACAAGCAAAACUGCUUGUCCCUGGGCCCGGAGAACAUAUGUAAGAACAUUUAUAGGUGUUACCCAGUGGGUAGAAAGGUUGUGGGUAGAGGUUUUCUUCUACAUCGCAGUAUAGGCAGCACAACUUUGAAAAUGAUUCCAGUGGAAGUGUAAGCAGAGAUUUAUUCAAUGGAUGGGUUUCCUUGCACUAACCUCUUCCCUUUCCUCAUAAAACAUUACCUUGAGUUUCUUCAGCUUAUUUUCAGAUUCUUCAUUUUUAAGAUGAGGAGAAUAUAUUAUCUUCCACCAUGGUUCAAUAAAAUAUAAUUAAUACAUCUGGUUGCAAAAAUACUGACAGAUCUUUUUAAAAAUGUCUGUCAGUACUACCAGAAUUGUCUCUUGUUCCUGUCCUUUUAUUUUCUACACUGCCUUCCCACUUCCCACUGCCAUACUGAAUAUCAAAGUGGAUUUACGCAUAAAUAUCAAUAAAUGUCAUGUGGUCUAAGGGCAUGACUGUGUGACAUAUACUUGAAGUGUCCUCGUUCCAUAAUAUUAAAUAUGUCUGUGUGAAAUCAUCCAAAGGCACCUUUCAUGUACCACAUAGCAAGUCUCAUGGGAGUGAUGCCCAUACCAAUCCAGGUAAGUAAUUAAUAAGACAAUUCCUUCACUCAAAGCCACAAUCAAACACAGAUGAUAUUUGCUUGUGGAGGUUAAGCAUGCUUGAUUAUCAUGGUCCUCAUUGCCUUUAAUGGGGUGCCACUCCGGGUGGUCCACUUGGAAACGACCUCAGGCAACUACCCUGGCUUUUUUCUAGCAUGAAUCACAUAGGAUCCUAUUUACACUGACAAACCAUGGGAGCCCAGGUACCUAAUGCAGUCAUUUUAUGUUUUGGGCUCAUUCCUAGGCAUUCUAUCUGUUACCCUUUAAAUUUUUCAAGAGAAGAUUACAGACCAGGCUGUCUAUAAUUGGGGAAGGUAGUAAAAUAGUCUUGUUCAGGCUUCAGAGGCAACAAUAGGCCUUUGACUAAACAAGGACCCUGAAAGAGCUGCAUGCCGAACUGCUAGACUGCAUGCAGCUCAGUAGAAACGGUGCUAGCAAGUCCUGGGAACCAACAGAUAAAGAAGGGAGUAAGUCACGAAGCUUCCUGGGCCUUGGGAAUCUGACCAGUUCCCGGGGAUCAGCGAACAUUGGACCCUUCCCAACUGGGGCUCCAGAUCGUUCUUACUCGGGACUUCCCAGCUGCUGCUUGGAUCUGGAAGUAGGUGUCGGCCCGAUUCGGUGAUGUAUGCUCUGUUAUAUACUCUGUUUAUAUUCUUAUUCCUUUCCCUCUAAUGAUUGUAUAUUGAAAUUUAUAUACUCUGUUAAUAUUCUUAUUCCUUUCCUUUUAAUGAUUGUAUAUUGAAAUUAAGUUAAAUCACCUUCUAUUAAAGAUUUGAUUGAAGCUGU
rnacentral:lncRNA from 1 species